CAGGCAGAUCAGUGGUGCCAGAGAGGUGGCUGAGAGUUCUAUAUCCUAAUCAACAGACAGCAGGAAGAGAGGAACACUGGGCAUGAUGGCUUGAGCAUUUAGAAUCCCAAAGCCCAUCCCCAGUGACAUACUUCCCCCAACAAGGCCACAUCAACUACAAAGACCACACCUCCUAAUCCUUGUCAAGUAGAGCCACUCCCUGUGAGCCUAUGGGGGCCAUUUUCACUCAGACCACCACAACAUGGAAGAGCCUCUUCACCCUGCAGUAUCAAUUAGAUCACCCAAGAUCUAAUUUUUAAUAUAGAAACGAAUACACAUACUAUUCUAGAUUCAUUUCUGUUGCUGUGAUAAAGUUCCCCAACAAAAAACAAUAGAGAAAGGUUUCUUUCCAUUUACAAUUCCAGAUUGCAGUUGAUUACUGGAGGGAAGUCAAACAGCUACCACAACCCAUCCCUAGUCAGGAGCACGGAGGAAUCCCUACAGGACUAUCUUCAGACCUAUCUUCCCUCUCACACAGUUCCAGACCUCCAGAGUGGACUGGGCCUUCCUACAUCAAUGAAAGAAGACAGUGCCCCACAGAUAUGCCCACAGACCAAACCAAUGCCUUUCCAGGUGAUACUAGACUAUGUCAAGUGGAAAGCCUGAUGUUACGUGGGGGUCUCACAAAUGCCUGAUGACCCUGUCAAUCCCAGGCCUUGGGUGGAAGUGGGCACUGGGCUCCCAGGGUUCCCAAGGUCAGAAUAUGCUACUAAGAAAAUGUCCUGUGAAGCAAGCACAGCCCUGUACCCACCAGCCUUGGACCAUGAGGAUCCUGUGUCCGGUGGAGCCUGGUGGAAGUAUAGCAAUGUAUGUGGUAAGCAGUAGUAAGGUAUCCACGGGGUAUCCUGAUUCCUAUGUGGGGGGGGGGAGUUCAAAAGGGUCUAAUAUCUAGAAUUAUAUAGUGGCCCAGGACAGUAGUGUCCAACAGGGGGGCUGACACUGAGUCAUGCAUGUUGUGUGCACAGAUUGUCCUGCAGGGCCCUAUAUAUUCCUUGCAGAAUACUCAGGAUGGCAUGUGGUGGUGGUGCCUACAUACACAGCUCUAGAACUAGGCUUGAGAGACCCACAACUACAACCAUACAAAGGUAGGAGUCAGACCUACUGGACCUGUCCCCUCCCAAACUCCUCAGACAAAGUGUCUGUCCCCCGCCCCCUGCCUGACACACACCACCGAUGUCCGGCAUACACUGCUGGUUUACACAUCGUGCAGGAAAGUCCCCUGCUGCUGACCUACAUAAGACUCCCCAACAACACUCUUCCAUAUACAUGCUAGCAAUGAGAACCUACUAGUCACCCUUCACACACAUGCACGCACACACACACACACAGACACACACACACACACACACACACACACACACACACACAC
rnacentral:lncRNA from 1 species